rnacentral:rRNA from 1 species
UACGAAGGGGGCUAGCGUUGCUCGGAAUCACUGGGCGUAAAGCGCACGUAGGCGGCCUCUUAAGUCGGUGGUGAAAUCCUGGAGCUCAACUCCAGAACUGCCUUCGAUACUGGGAGUCUCGAGUCCGGGAGAGGUGAGUGGAACUGCGAGUGUAGAGGUGAAAUUCGUAGAUAUUCGCAAGAACACCAGUGGCGAAGGCGGCUCACUGGCCCGGUACUGACGCUGAGGUGCGAAAGCCAGGGGAGCAAACGGG